GCCAGUCACGCAGCUAUCAAAAGCAGGACUGCCGCCAAAGCUGACCGAGGCUCACGCUUCUCCCACUUGGCCAAGCUGCCAAAGAAACCAACCACAGUUCUUGUCCUCCCACCCAGGACAGCAAUGAAGAGAAACUCUGAGGCCGUGAUAACUGCAGAUUUCCUCAGGCUCUCCGGCAGGGUGCCACCAGAGGCAUGACUUAGUCCCAACUGCGCUGAAGCAGGAGAGAGGACUCAGGACUGCAGGUACAAAAUCAGCAAGAGAGACAGGAUUAGCAUGUCCCCUGCUGCCCCUAGACUUCAUUUGGAACCCUCCACCCGGAAGUCAGCGUUGGUUCACAGUGAAGAAGCUGGACGAGUGCCGGGAAGACUGUUUACACCCCAAAUGGCCAAUGAGGCAGGCAAGAGCCUCCACUUUUAGCAACAUCGUAUGGAUACCCCAGUACCAGGAGCAGCACCUAAGAGUUAGAGAGCCAGUAACAAAGGUCAACCAUUUUAAUAAUCAAAUCAGUAAUAAGUUGCAUAUAAAGCCGAGUCCAGUGAUAUUGUA